UACAGAGGGGGCAAGCGUUGUUCGGAAUUACUGGGCGUAAAGGGUUCGUAGGUGGCCAACUAAGUCAGACGUGAAAUCCCUCAGCUCAACUGGGGAACUGCGUCUGAUACUGGUUGGCUUGAGUGCAGGAGAGGAACGCGGAAUCCAGGUGUAGCGGUGAAAUGCGUAGAUAUCAGGAGGAACACCGGUGGCGAAGGCGCACAUCUGGCCCAAUACUGACGCUGAGGCGCGAAAGCCAGGGGAGCAAACGGG
rnacentral:rRNA from 1 species